UAAAUAAACAUGUGCUGUUUAACUUAGAUCGGUGUUCAUGGUACCUGAAUAUGACAGCAAGAAAGAAAGUGAAAAUAGGGAUAAGAUUUGCUAAAGCUGAAGAGAGAGUAGGUGAGCUGAAUUUGACUCCAGUAAGAUACACCAUCUGCCC